GUAGUCCACGCCCUAAACGAUGGGUGCUAGACGUCGGAACAUUAGUUUCGGUGUCGCAGCUAACGCGUUAAGCACCCCGCCUGGGGAGUACGGUCGCAAGAUUAAAACUCAAAGGAAUUGACGGGGACCCGCACAAGCGGUGGAGCAUGUGGUUUAAUUCGAGGCUACGCGAAAAACCUUACCAGCUCUUGACAUCCCGAUAGCCGCUCUUGUAAUGAGAGCUUCAUUUAGUUGGAUCGGUGACAGGUGCUGCAUGGCUGUCGUCAGCUCGUGUCGUGAGAUGUUGGGUUAAGUCCCGCAACGAGCGCAACCCUCAUCCUUAGUUACCAUCAUUUAGUUGGGGACUCUAAGGAAACUGCCGGUGACAAGCCGGA
rnacentral:rRNA from 1 species